rnacentral:rRNA from 1 species
AGCGAACGCUGGCGGCAGGCCUAACACAUGCAAGUCGAACGAAGUCUUCGGACUUAGUGGCGGACGGGUGAGUAACACGUGGGAACGUACCUUUUGGUUCGGAACAACUCAGGGAAACUUGAGCUAAUACCGGAUGAGCCCUUAGGGGGAAAGAUUUAUCGCCGAAAGAGCGGCCCGCGUUAGAUUAGCUAGUUGGUGAGGUAAAGGCUAACCAAGGCUACGAUCUAUCGCUGGUCUGAGAGGAUGAUCAGCCACACUGGGACUGAGACACGGCCCAGACUCCUACGGGAGGCAGCAGUGGGGAAUCUUGCGCAAUGGGCGAAAGCCUGACGCAGCCAUGCCGCGUGAAUGAUGAAGGUCUUAGGAUUGUAAAAUUCUUUUACCAGGGACGAUAAUGACGGUACCUGGAGAAAAAGCCCCGGCUAACUUCGUGCCAGCCGCCGCAGUAA